CCUCAAACCCUAUGGAAUGAUUAGUUCUAAAGUAGUGGUUCUCAACCUGUAGGUUAUGACUCCUUUGGGGUGGGGGGAGUCGAAUGAACCUUUCAUGGGUCGCUUAAUAGCAAAUUUGCAGAGAUGGAGUAAUGAAAAUGAUUUUGUGGUUAGGGGGUCACGGCAUGAACUGUAUUAAAAGGUUGCAGCAUUAGGGAGCUUGAGAACCACUGCUCAAGAGGGCUGGAAUGGACAGUGUAAGUCAACUACCAGCUGAGGCCCCUCAGCAUUGUCCCAUGUCAACUGCUUUGGUGGUGCACGGGAAUAACUUCAGAUUUCCUGCCUCACCGGCUGAAUCAGGCCAAAGUAAGUGGCAUUGUGGUUAUUCACACCACAUGGGCACUCGAGACAUUCUUUGCUGGGCCAGAGAGGACAAGCAUAUCUCCCCAUUAUGGUCUGAGGCAGCAUUCUAUUACCAGCCACAGUGUGUCUGCUAUAAGGAUCUAAGUGGGAGUGGUAGACCAGCGGCAUUUCCAACUGCUGUUGGAAGAACAUGCUCUAGGGAUUUCAAGGCUGUUGACCUUUUGUUGGAAGCACAUCUCCAGGCCUCAGUUGCAGCUACAACCGACCAGCAACUGAAUUAACAGUAACUCCUGAUUCUGGAAGUAACUUUGGAGGCCUGGUUUCCUGUUAAAAAGGUCCAGGUCAUUCACAUAGUUUUCCAUCGUGCCCGUAAUCUGGGCACUUCUAAUGAAUAAAGAGUAAUCAAUUCUAUUCUAAUUCUGAUAAUUGGUUGCAUAGCCAUUCUUACCCAUUAAACUCAUGGGCCCCUCGAUUUUUUAAUCAGUUGGUUAAUCAUAUAGGUCACAUGCUCAAUGCAGAAAUUCUUGACCAGUUAACUGGUUUUAAAGGUUUGAUUGAGGAAUCAGGUGGCGCAAACUCACGCACAGCUACUGACGAAGUGGCGCUUUGGAAGAAAGGCGCUUGCAAUCUGCUUCCAAAAGCCCACAGCCUUUGAAAGCCCUAUAGACAAUUCUGUUUAACUGAUUUACUCACCCAGAGGGAGAGUCAAUGACAAUUGGUUGUGUUGUUUUUGUUUUUGUUUUUUUUCUGGUUUGACAGAAACUGAUUAAUGUACAGGUUUCCAAAGAACCCCUUUGAGACCAGAAACCCCUGAAUGUCAAAGGUAUGUUGUAUCCCAAGGUUUGUGCAGACCAAACUCCUAGCCUACAAAUACUUUGUAUUUUCAAGCUCUGGGUCUUAACCUGUCCCUGAAAUCUUAAUUAGCAAAGAUAAUUUUCUUUUCUUUUUUUUUCCAAACAAAGCUCAUUUUCUGACAUGCUCUCACCCCAAAGCCCAUUUCAAGGUCCAAAAGAAAUUGAAGGCUGGGCUUUGCAUAUGACCUUCAAAUCUCAAACCAUUGCUCCCACCCUAUCUUGAGCAGAAAUCUGCUUUUUCCUCACUUUGCCUUCCAGCUUAAUUUCUUCUCUAUCUCUAUUCACUCUCUAAAAUUGGAAUAAUCAAUAGUGCCCACUUCAAAGAAGGAUGGUUGUUGGGUGCCAUGGAGUCACUUCUGACUCAGACUAAAUGACUGUAAAGUACUUGGACAAGUCCCUGACAUCCCCAUAUCCUUGCCCCACUGAAAAUAGAGCGUGUAGAAAACUAAAAAGAGGCCUUAACAAACCUGAUCUUGAAUACUUGAGGUAUGUAGAAAAGCUUAUUAGAUAAUAAACUUUCAUCAAAAGAGAACUUGACAGAUCCCUUACCUACCUAUAUUCCUGUUCAUCCCUUAGCAGGUCCACAAUCCCUUUUAUUAUGAUUCCAGAAAGCACAAAGUUCUGGAAAAGAAAAGUUAAUCGUUUUUUAGUGGUAAAAGCUGACCUGAUGCUUUUCAAAAUCUUUUAUUCUCAAUAGCUGGCCUCAAACCAUUAAAAUGACCAUGGAACCUGCAUUAUGCUUGUAACUGAUGAAUUUGGGUAUGUGAAAAUUCAUUUUGUGUUUGUGAGUGUGAACAUUUCCAUAAUAAAAGGUUAAAACAGUU